AAGUGCUCAGUACAGGGCUCUGCACACAGUAGGCAUUCAAGAAAUACGACUAAAUGAAUUCUGACAUUCCACGCUCCCUAACUGUGAAGUGCGGGUGUUUUUUUAGGCGCUUUUUUUCAGAAUGCAUUUCUUUUGGAUGAGUGAAAUCGGCUGAAGGAAGAAGCGUGCGUUCUGCCUUUAUUUUGGGGAAAAAAAAACCCAAAACCAGACUUGGUUCAAUCUACCUGACAAAGCAGUAUCUGUGAUCCCGUCGGGGGAGCCACGACUGACCUUUCCAGAGAAGACCAUGGAUGCCAAACCGGGAACGCUGUGUUCAGGACGGAUGCCACUUGUCUGGUCGCCAGCCCACUAGGAGGUCCCUCCGUGGGGGUGGGAGACCCCGGCCCAAGGAGGCCCCCAGAUGUGGGGAGACCCCGAGAACGCAGCUGAAGCCUCUCCGCACGCUGGAUCGGAAGAUGAGGUUGUGUGGAGGCAAUUCUGCUGGAUUCCUGGGGACGCGGGGGCUGGUGUCUCGGUCGCCUCGGUCAAUCGGUCAGCUUCUUCGCCUUCUGUGACACCUUUAUGGGCUCCGCUACCGGUUAAUUGAGAGAGAGCAACUGCAGAGCAGAGAUAAAAAUCUCUGUUCCAGGAACCACAGUCCUGGGGAAUUCAAUCCACUAGAUCCUAGGCUCCCUAACCUCCUUAUGCCUUUAUCUGUAAGGGCUGAGUACAGUGGUUUCUACACAAGUCUGAAAAGUUUCUCUUCCACCGUAAUUUGGUGCCGUGACUCGGUUGACAACGCUCGACGACGGUCUGGAGCGGUCCAUCUCUCAGUGACUCUCAAGUGCAACUGCAGAGCCUCAGCAGGUCCCAAAAUCCAGGGCCAUUGGAGAGCAUGGAUCCUACCCAACCUCAAAAGAUACCGGGCCCACAUUCGGCCCCUCCAUCCGACCUCGGUCCCCCCCGCUGAACGACGGCAGGCACCUUGAGAAGCCAGAGGCUUGACCGGAUGAGCCUGGUUCUGAUCCUGAUCCUCGCAGAGGCGCAGCUGCCUGCAGCUUCCCUGUCCUACCCUCUGGGCCCCAGGGAAGGGGGCAUCGGUGCCACUUCUUGUUGCUUCCGAUUAACCAGCAGUGGAAGCCCAUAGAGAUGCUGCAGAAGGUGAGGAAACUAACCGCCUGACCGAGGGGACCGAGCCACCGCCACCCCCGCAUCCCCAGGAAUCCAGCGGAAUCGCUUCUGCACAACCUCGUCUUCUGAACCGGUGCGCAGAGAUACUUCUGCUGCAUUCUCAGAGCGUCCCGGCAUCUGGGGGUCUCCCACCCCCACAGAGGGACCGCGUAGCGGGACGGCGACCGGACAGGUGGCAUCCAGGCCUAAACCCAGCACUCCCUGUUUGG